UUCCAGUGGGGAACUAAAAGCCAUCUCUGAAAGUACACAGUGAUUUAUGACAGAUACCUUCUUUCUGUAGAAAUUAUGGUUGCCAGAAGUGAUCCAUCUUUUGGGAAGGCAGGAAUCUGCAGGUGGGCCUUACUAUUAGUUAGUAGUCUCUGUGGAAAUUGGCCCUAGACUAGCAGGCCCACUGAGGAACAAACUCCAAAAGGAGAUGUAUCAAGAAUUGGACUGCAGAGAUGAGCAGAUGGAAGAGAGUGAGGAACCAAUUAGAUGGAGAGAGGCUGAGUUCAGUACAGGCCCUUUCUAGACUGUGGAAGUUGUCCUACAUUACGUAAUACACGUUCACAAGAUAGCUAUCUGAAGCAUGUGGGAAAACUAAGAGAACAAAUGAAUGAUAACCAAUUGUCUGUCUAUAUACAAUUCCAUAACAUUUGGCCUUGCUAGAGUGCCCAGUCCCUGAUGAAAACACGUUUGUGAGGUUCCCAGAUGAUAUCCCAUGACUGUGAUAAUUGUCACGUGCCUGUUUAUUUUUCCCUUGAGAAACUGAAUGAGUUAAAAAAAAAAUCACAACUAAACAAAAGCAUACCAAUAACAGGAAACUGUUGGUGAGAAAUACCCCAAUGUUCCUGUAAAUUCACGUCACCAGAUUCCCCAGGGACAAAGGUGCAUGAACUGCAUGGGUAAAUAAUUAUGAUUUAAUACCGAGACCUUGCAAUGCUGUUUACAGUAAAACAACAAAAAAGAAUUGUUUCUGGAGGCGCAAAUAAGCAAAUAAUAGAAACACAUAUCAAUAUAAUCAGGAAGUGGUGAUGUUAUGUCUAGGUCAGCUACUGAAAACAAUUUGUAAUCUAUCAAAGUAUCUCCUUUGCAAUUGCAAGCAGCAUGAGGUGAGACCUUAGGAGGAAGACAAUGCCUCAUCAUCAGGUUGAUUAGAAAUGAUGGAGAAAAUGGGAUAUUCAGCCUGGAGAAUUUCAGAAGAGUUUUCUGCGCCUUGACACCUGUCUGAUUGCAGGGUUUUUUUUCUCCCAUGGAUGACGAGAGCAAGAGUAACAGCAGAUCCUCCCUCUUCUUUAAAAGGAUUUCCAGCUGGAGAGCAUGUCAGCUUGUGAGCACACCCUAUGGGCACAAGCACACGUGUUCCAGCUAAGAAAAGAAAUGGGUGGCUGUGCUUCAACGGCUCACCUGUGUUCACAUCUGCAAGAUAAGUGCAAGGAUGCAGCAUAUUUCAGCCCAUUAUUUUAAAAGAGUUGAAUGCUCCCCUGGAGGUGUGACAGUCACUAUCUAGUCACUGCUGAUGAUCACAUCAGUGGGUUUUUCCUGGUGAAUUCCCAUUGUUCAUUAAUCAAUAGCUCCUGAUUCCCUGAGUAGGACCCUGGAUGAGGAGACCUGUGCCCCACCUGGAGGUGAAGUGGCCUUUACCCUGAAAGCAUACAGCUGUCAGUGAGCCCAGGAGGAAUGAAGAAGGUUGGGUGUGGGUCAGCUCAUCUGGUUCACAUGAGAAUGUCUGGUUCUCAGACUCCACAAUACAUACAGCAGCACACUUCUUCUGGUCCCCUAGAGUCUUCUCUUUUGGGCGUCCCUUUUGCCUCUGCCUGUAAGUCAUCCAAUAUCUUAUGGGCCUAAAUGGGAUCCUGUUUUGUAAGUCUCUAAGUCAGUCCUCAUUAUGGGCUGAAUUGUGUCCCCCACAAAUUCAUAUGUCACGCUUAACUCCCGGUUACUCAAAAUGUUACUGUAUUUAGAGACAGGGCCUUUAAAGAGGUGACUAAGUUAAAAUGAGGCCAUUAGGAUGGGCUCUAAUCCAAUCUGAUUAGUGUCCUUUAAGAAGAGGAAACUGGGGCACACAAAGGGAUACAAGGAGUGCUCACGCACCAAGGAAAGACCACUGGAGAACAUAGGGAGAAGGCGGCCAUCUACACACCGGUGGGAGAGGCUUCAGAAGGAACCAGACCUGCUGAGGCCUUCAUCGUGGACUUCUGGUCUCCAGAACUGUGAGAAAUAAAUUCCUGCUGUUUAAGCCAC